rnacentral:piRNA from 1 species
UAAAAGAUUUUACUUUUAAAAAAUUGCGUGU